rnacentral:rRNA from 1 species
UCUUGACACUCAAAGAAUUUGGCGGUAUUAUAGUCUUUUCAGAGGAAUCUGUCCUUUAAUUGACAGUACACGAAUUGUUCUACCUUAUUUAAGUAGUUUGUAUAUCACUGUCAUAAGAUUAUUUUACUGASAAGUUGAAWUUUCUCUUUUUAGGAUUAAAAAAGAUGUCAAGUCAUGGUGCAGCUUAUAGUAAGGAAGAGAUGGAUUACAAUAAUUGUAGUUAAAUGGAUAUAUGAGUAAGUAAAUAUUUAAGGUGGAUUUGAUUGUAAAUUUGUCUAAUUGAUAGGUUGAUUUUGGCUCUAUAAUGUGUACAUAUCGCCCGUCAUUCUCAUUAUGAUGUGAG